CCAAUCAUGUGCGGAGGCUAAAAGUCUAAAACCCUUCUCCCCCCAGAAGGGAAAAGAGAGAGGUUAAAACCCUUCUUCUUCGCCUAAGUAUCUUCUCUCCUAAACCCCCUGCGGAUCUCGGACUACUCCGCCUCUUCUUCCCACCGCCUGAGAAAACCCAAUUCAUUUGUGGGGUUUCUCUACCUGGAAAGCUCCAAUUAAUCUCAUGUUUCUUUGGUUCUUGGGACGUUUAUUGUUACCUUUCUGAGUUUAAAAGGUUACAGAAACAUUAAACAAGAUGAAUCACCUGUUCAGGAAGUCAGCUUCGAUUGCUUCCUUGGCAUCGAAGCAGGCUCGAACUGCUUUGAUCUCAUUGGGGUCAUUUCGUUUUGAUCCAUCUGCAAUAGCUUCUGAAACUGUUAAAGAUUCUGUGUUUAAUGGUGAAAUUUGUUCAUCUUCGUGUUCUGAGUUUCCGGCGAAGUUUGGGUUUGGUUUGGGUGUUAGAGAUUUUCAUUUCUCGACUGUUCCGUUGGAAUUUAGAGCUUCAAUCGCUGCAAGAGCAGAGAAUGCGGUUGAUGAUUACUAUGAUGAGGAGAGGUCUUCGGGGAAGAAGGUCGGUGGAGAGAACGAGGAAGGGCUUGAGAUUGCGAAGCUGGGGAUUGCUCCUGAAAUUGUUUCUUCUCUCGCAAGGAGAGGAAUCACUAAGCUUUUCCCAAUUCAGAGAGCUGUGUUGGAACCAGCAAUGCAAGGCUGUGACAUGAUUGGCCGGGCUAGGACAGGAACAGGGAAGACUCUAGCUUUUGGGAUUCCCAUUAUGGAUAAAAUAAUUCAGUUCAAUGCUAAGCAUGGACGUGGGAGAAAUCCGUUGGCCUUGGUAUUGGCUCCAACGAGAGAGCUUGCUCGGCAAGUUGAGAAGGAAUUCCAUGAAUCUGCCCCGAAUUUGGAUACACUUUGUGUUUAUGGAGGUGUGCCAAUCUCGCGGCAAAUGAACACUCUUGAUUAUGGAGUUGAUGUCAUUGUUGGCACACCUGGUCGCAUUAUUGAUCUGCUUAAGAGAGGUUCCUUAGUUUUGUCCGAGGUUCAGUUUGUUGUUCUGGAUGAAGCAGAUCAAAUGCUUGCCGUGGGCUUUGAUGAAGAUGUUGAAGUAAUAUUAGAGAGGUUACCCCAGAAGCGUCAGAGCAUGAUGUUCUCUGCCACAAUGCCAAAUUGGAUAAGAAAGCUCACCCAGAAGUAUCUAAAUGAUCCAUUAACGAUUGAUCUUGUAGGAGAUUCUGAUCAGAAGUUGGCAGAAGGGAUUACUCUAUAUUCAAUUGCAUCAGAUAUGUAUGGGAAGGCAUCAAUUAUUGGUCCUCUGAUAACUGAACAUGCAAAAGGAGGAAAAUGUAUUGUUUUCACACAAACUAAACGUGAUGCUGAUCGCUUGGCAUAUGCUAUGGGUCGAAGUUUUAGAUGUGAAGCUUUGCAUGGGGAUAUCUCACAAAAUCAGAGGGAAAGGACACUUGCAGGCUUUCGGGAAGGGAGCUUUAAUGUCUUAGUUGCCACCGAUGUGGCUGCCCGUGGACUUGAUAUACCUAAUGUUGAUCUGGUGAUACAUUAUGAGCUUCCAAAUAGUUCAGAGAUCUUUGUUCAUAGAUCUGGCCGAACUGGACGUGCUGGAAAGAAGGGAAGUGCUAUUCUGAUUUAUACAGAUCAGCAGCUGCGAGGUGUCAGAAUGAUAGAGCGGGAUGUGGGAUCCAAGUUUACAGAGCUUCCCAGGAUUGCUGUUGAGGCUGAAGACAGGGUUAUGUCCAGUGAGAUGGGUGGUGGUGGUCGGUUUGGCUCUUAUGGAAGUUCAGGAAGUGGUCGAUUCAGUGAUUCUGGUUUUGGUCGUUCUGGCGGUUAUGGUGGUUCUGGAUUUGGUCGUUCUGGCGAUUAUGGUGGUUCUGGAUUUGGUCGUUCUGGCGGUUAUGGUGGUUCUGGAUUUGACCGUUCCAGUAGCUUUGGUGGUCCAUCAUCAGGACGUGUGGGUAAUUAUGGUGAGUCAGGGUCUAGUCGAAUGGGUUCCUUUGGUGGAUCAGGCUCGGGUCAAUCUGGUGGUGGAUUUGGCAGUUAUGGCUCAAGUCGCUCUAGCGAAUUUGGUGGUUCUGGAUUUGGCCGUUCAGGCAGCUUUGGAGAGUUUGGUGGUUCAGGUCAUUCCAGUGCUUUUGGUGGGCCAGGUCGCUCCAGUGGUUUUGGGAAUUCUAAUUCAGGGCGUUCAAGUGGUUUUGGGGAUCCUAGCUCGAGUCACUCGAGUGGUUUUGGGAAUUCUGGUUCAAGUCAAUUUGGUGGAUCCAGUGCUAGCUCUAUUGGUGGCUUGAGUCAUGGUAGUCUUGAUGAUGAUAAGAGGCCUGGGAGGAUUUAAUUCUAAUAUAUUUGGAGAUAGACUUUUUGCUGGGACCCAUCCACUGGUGCAUCAAAACCUCCAUCUAUCACAUGGCAUCAGAUCUUAUGAUGGCCAUGGGGUGAAAGAUGGAUUCGAAUGAUGCAACAUCAAGAUUUGGUGAACUGGCCACGAGUUGGAUUAUGCAUUCAAGCAAAUGACUAGAUUUAUGGUUGAAGUGAAGUGCAAGCUUUUCAGAUUACUUCAAUGUUAGAUCCAUAUUGAACAGAAAUUAUUUGAAAAAAAAAAAGGGGGGGUGGGGGGUGGGGGGCUUACCCAGUGAACAGAAAUUAUUCUUCUAAUCUAUUUCAAAUCCCAAGUGCCAUAUUUUCAA